rnacentral:lncRNA from 1 species
CGCUAGUUUCUUGGGACAAAAACUUACUGGAUUGUAGAAUAAACGAAUGGAAGCCUUCACAAUAUUUCGCUCCAAUCUUCUGCACGGUUUUUGCACUCACUUAAAAAUGAAAUCCCCAAAUUGUUAAAACUAAGUCUGACUUCCUCGUGUACACGAUUUUUUUAUAUCGUAAUCUUAAGAGGCAACUCGUAGAUUUUAAAACAAUGAAAAUGAAAUCAUUGAACUUCUCCCCCGAGAUAUAUCUAUCAAAAGAAAAUACCUUUGCAACGCGUCUCAACGCAGUGUAAUUUUUAAAAGUGAAAUAAGACGAAUGAUUUGCGACGUCGCAAAUCGGAAUACAUUGUUUUCUAUUCUCGCCAUAGAAGAACGCCUCUGUAUCGUAGACUUUAAUUUGGACAAAGUCAAUUAAUUACAAACUUGUUUUUCCAAGUUUAGAUGUACUGCAUGAUGCAACUCUUAUGUAUAGUCCCGUGCUCAAGUUGCAAAGGAAGCAUCAGCCGCAUAAAAAUGCUGGUUUCUUAUGAGCAUUUUUCAACGUUUGUCGAGCCAGUACAGCAUUUCUUCUGGCUACCAAGAAACAGCAAGAAUCGAAACACUCCGGAAAAAUUUUUCAUCAAAUUUUGUGGAAAAUACGGUGCACCUCUUAACAAUUUUGAAAUUCAACUCGUGAGCGCAAGGUUGAAUUCUUGCCGCUAUAGUCGGCGAGGGUCGUAGAGACGAACACCGGUAAGUAAACACUUAUAAUUGAAUUUUUUCCUGUGUUAAAGGGGUUUCGAAUGAGGGGGGUUGGAUGAUACAGUGAGAUAGCUGACCAUUUUUAAAAAUUGACUUCAGAGAGCAAUAUGGGAAAAGAGUAAAAGAAGUAUUGUUAUUUUGAGGACAAGCAAUCAACAAAUGCACCAAUUAGGUAUACUACAAAUAAUUAGACAAAUACAGGGGGUAUGCUUGAAAAGGGAGAAAAAAAAUGAAAGUAUCAUUAGUUCCCGCUUAGCACUUUCGCAUUUUAGCUUGUAUUCUCAUGAUAUGAUUGAAGUCUGAGAAUUUUGCGAAAAUACAGCAUCGUAUACAAUGGGUCACUAAACCAUGAACCAUGAAUUUUGACUUGCGAAUAUAUUUUCCUAAACGUAAAUGACGCGUAAACUACGAUGCGCACAUUAAAAACACAAAAAAGUAACUCAAUAACCGAGAAAUACGCAGUUGACAAAGCGCAACUUUUCCGCAAAUUCAAAACACCCCAGUUUCGCGCCGAACCGAAUGAUGUCAUCCAGCACCAAUCAGAGGCGAGCACAGGUUUCCACAACUCGAGUCAAAAAUCAACUUAUUAUUAGCGCGGAGCCCUAAUGCUUUAUAGGUAAAAUAUCGCCCACUAUUGCUGAGCUCUACGACUUUAGGGUCCAGACUAUUUUAAAGUGUUAGGGCUUAGCGCUAAGUGUUUUUUCCGUGAUCCUGAUUGCAAAAUGAAGUCAAUUUGAUAGUCUCUGAGAAAGCACACCAACAAGGGUUGGAGGUCGUUCUAAAAAAAACUAAAUCCAGAUUAGGAAGCUGGUUCCGAUGAUUCUUGGUUUCCUCGUUUUUGGGACUCAAAAAUGUAGCGUGUCCUUCUCGCAUUCCGCUACACUGCAAAAAGAAGUUACGGGCUACAUAGAAAUACCGCCCGCUCCGAGCUCAGAGGCCGAAGAUACGGGUGCUGGAGCCGCAGCUGCGAUUGCUCCGGGUGCUGCGCCCGGAACCUCCGGUCUCUAAGCCCGGACGGUAUGUCUAUAUAGCCCGUACGUACGGCUUCCACGGCCGGAGUUUUUUUCAGUGUAACUUGGGAUCCAGGUGAGUAUUUUCAGUGAUUUUUUUACGUUUGCUCAAAUGCAGAGCUAUUGAGGAUUACAUAAGCUGCUCUGAGUUCAGCCAUUCACCGUGUGAAACGAUGACCCGAUCGUGACGCGGGGCAAGCUGCGAGGUGACCGCCCCGCGCCGCGCUGGUGUGUGCUAUCCACGACUAUGUAGGAUCCUACGAUGCAGAAGUUGACGUUGGCAGCUAGUCUAUCUUAAUUCUUGCGAUUCAUCUCACACUUCUCACUCCAGAUAACAUGAAAAUCCCGCACAGUGGCUCUGCUGCAUGAGGGGUCAUACAAAUGGAUCGUAUUCGAUAGUGGUUUCGAUGUAUCGUUUGGUUCAAAAUAAUAGAACAUACCUUCAAACCACAAUUUUAGGAUAUUUGUCAGUAAAGCUGGAAAUGAGAAAUUUUGUAGCAAUUUCACUACUAAUAGACAUUUAAUACUCAUGCGAAUCAAAAAUUAAAAAAAAAGAAAAAACAAAACCAUUCCGUCAGAUUACGCAAUUGACUUUUGAAGCUAUGAUUAUGUUUUGAACCGAUCGAUAUCGAUAUAAUCUCACUCGUUUGAUGUAUCGAAUACGAUCUAUUGCAAGUGCUAUGGGAGGUAUUCUGCCGUGCUAUGGAAAAACGCAGAAAAUCUUAGUUAUGAACGUCCAACAGCUUCCCAGUAGGA